UUCGGACUGGAGUCUGCAACCCGACUCCACGAAGCUGGAUUCGCUAGUAAUCGCGCAUCAGCCACGGCGCGGUGAAUACGUUCCCGGGCCUUGUACACACCGCCCGUCAAGCCAUGGGAGCCGGGGGUAACCUGAAGUGCGUAACCGCGAGGAGCGCCCUAGGGUAAAACUGGUGACUGGGGCUAAGUCGUAACAAGGUAAC
rnacentral:rRNA from 1 species